rnacentral:rRNA from 1 species
GAUGAACGCUGGCGGCGUGCCUAAUACAUGCAAGUCGAGCGAACGGACGAGAAGCUUGCUUCUCUGAUGUUAGCGGCGGACGGGUGAGUAACACGUGGAUAACCUACCUAUAAGACUGGGAUAACUUCGGGAAACCGGAGCUAAUACCGGAUAAUAUUUUGAACCGCAUGGUUCAAAAGUGAAAGACGGUCUUGCUGUCACUUAUAGAUGGAUCCGCGCUGCAUUAGCUAGUUGGUAAGGUAACGGCUUACCAAGGCAACGAUGCAUAGCCGACCUGAGAGGGUGAUCGGCCACACUAGAACUGAGACGCGGUCCAGACUCCUACGGGAGGCAGCAGUAGGGAAUCGUCCGCAAUGGGCGAAAGCCUGACGGAGCAACGCGGAGUGAGUGAUGAAGGUCUUCGGAUCGGAAAACUCUGUUAUUAGGGAAGAACACAUGUGUAAGUAACUGUGCACAUCUUGACGGUACCUAAUCAGAAAGCCACGGCUAACUACGUG